rnacentral:ncRNA from 1 species
UCCGCUGAAAAUUAAGAAAAGAAUUAAGCGGAAGAAAAGAAAAUAACAAUGAUUCCUGUAGUAACCGUGAGUGAAAAAGGAUAAGCUCAAAGUGGAAAAUCUUUUAUAUAUAAAGGCUGGGCCCCCCACGUGUCCCACUAAUGUAUAUAUACACAUAUGGUGCGGGGCUGGGUGUAGUGUUUUGGCUUUACAAAAGAAUUGUCACUUUUAUAUAAUGAAAGAUGAUUUAUAUAUACAUAUAUAUUUAAUUAUAUAUAUAAAUAUAUACUUGGUAAUAUCAUUAAACUUCCUAAAGAAUUUUUAAAAGUACAUAUAUACAUAUAUAUUAUUAUAUAACGAAAUAUGCAGGAGCGCACUUCCAUAGAGGGUGAAAGACCCGUAGUUUAUAAAUAUAUAAAUAUAUAACAAAGAGGGGGAAGAAGAACGGUUGAAGUUGAAUUGAUUUUCCUUAUCGCCUUUUCUUAUCUCUUUAUUUCUUUUUGGAAAUCUUUCAUUUUCGAGUCGUGUUCGAUGAGAUUGGGACACUAAUACGUGUGAUUAAACAAUUUCACAUAAAGCUAAAUAUAUAUAGGAGACCGAUAGCAAACAAGUACCGUAAGGGAAAGAUGAAAGAGUACUCAGGAAUGAGGUAUUAAAUAGAAUCUGAAAUCGUUAAGGUGGAAAGGAUUAAAGAAGACAAGAAGUAACGUGUGUUAAUUUUUUGUAUUUCUUUUGAAGGUCAUAUUUUGCUGGUGGAGAUGAUGUCCAAGAACAUUGGCGAGAUUGAUUUAUCGCCCAGAAUUGUGUGAGCGUGGAAGUACCUGAUGUAAUCUUCUCCUCCCAAUUUUGCGAGCGUGUAAAUCCAGAUCAAAUAUCUGGCUCAUGAUAUUGGCAUAUGAUUUUCAUCGCUAUACAGUUGACGUGCUUUAUUUAAAGAAACAUCAGCGAAAAAAAAAAAAAAAAAAAAAAGGAAUUUUUUUUUUUUUUUUAGGAAUGUAAAAGAAUAGAAGGAAAAUAAAAUAUAAUAAACGAUCUCGCAAGAGGGAGGAAUUUAUUUAUUUUUACCUAUUUUUACACAUAUCCGUUUUUUGCUGAGGGAGAUUUUAAAAAUUGUAGGAAAAAAAAAAAAAAAAAAAAAAAAAGGAUAAAGUUUUGAGAACUCGAAAUUUAUAUUUUUUUUUUUUUUUUUUUUUUUUUUAUUUUCUUACCUUUUAAGAUGUUUCUAAAAAGUCUUCUUUAACCGUCUCGUUUUGAAACACGA